GUCUAUGGCCAUGCCCCCCUGAACAAGCCUGAUGUCUGAUCUUGGAAGCUAAGCAGAGUCUAGCCUGGUUGGUUAGUACUUGGACGGGAGACCACCUAGGAUGACCAGGUUGCUGUAGUCA
rnacentral:rRNA from 1 species